CAUUUUUUGAGGCCUAUCAAUAUCUCUGAAUAUUGUUAAGAUUUAACCAUCCCUCAAAAACAU
rnacentral:tRNA from 4 species